AUGGCCUGUGAUGUGCUUAAAAGUCUUGUGUUCUGUGUUUUUAUCUCAUGCUUCUCGUCCCUUUUUCAGCCAGCAUUUUGUGAUGAGUAUACUAGGCUGUUUUUCGAAAACGAUGAUGUCUGUUCAUAUGCUUUCAAACCGAAAAAUAUUUUAAUUGGCCACAAGGAUAAACCUGCUCUCAUUCUCUCGGAAAAGAGCUAUUUUGAUAGUUGGCCUGGAACUCAUCCUUUUAACUGCAAUUUCCAUGUUUUCGUUCACAAUCAAGGCUUAUUUGCAGUCAUACAGAAUAUGUAUCUUCGUCGGAAUGCAACAACAAAAGAAUGCAUCGAUUACAUCCAGUUUAAGCAAAGUAAGCAGCAAUUUCCAAUCAUCUUCAAUUUGAAAGGGAGCAACACAACUGGGGGCCCAAGUACUGUGGUCGGAUAA
rnacentral:lncRNA from 1 species